GAUGAAGAACGCAGCAAAAUGCGAUACUUGGUGUGAAUUGCAGAAUCCCGUGAACCAUCGAGGUUUUGAACGCAAGUUGCGCCCGAAGCCUUUUGGCCGAGGGCACGUCUGCCUGGGCGUCACGCAUCGCGUCGCCCCCCACAAUUCUCCGUAAAGGGAACGUGUGUUUUGGGGGCGGAUAUUGGUCUCCCGUGCUCAUGGCGUGGUUGGCCGAAAUAGGAGUCCUUUCGAUGGACGCACGAACUAGUGGUGGUCGUAAAAACCCUCGUCUUUUGUUUCGUGCUGUUGCUCGCAAGGUAAACUCUUUAAAAACCCCAAUGUGUCGUCUCUUGACGACGCUUCGACCGCGACCCCAGGUCAGGCGGGACUACCCGCUGAGUUUAAGCAUAUCAUAAGCGGAGGA
rnacentral:misc_RNA from 1 species